CACGUAGGGUGCGAGCGUUGUCCGGAAUUAUUGGGCGUAAAGAGCUCGUAGGCGGUUUGUCGCGUCUGCUGUGAAAACUGGAGGCUCAACCUCCAGCCUGCAGUGGGUACGGGCAGACUAGAGUGCGGUAGGGGAGAUUGGAAUUCCUGGUGUAGCGGUGGAAUGCGCAGAUAUCAGGAGGAACACCGAUGGCGAAGGCAGAUCUCUGGGCCGUAACUGACGCUGAGGAGCGAAAAGCAUGGGGGAGCGAACAGG
rnacentral:rRNA from 1 species